AAUAAAUAAACAUUAAAAAACAAAUUAAGGAGUAAAGGGUAUCCUGAAAUGAUGAUCGGUGAGAACUGAUUUUGCUUCUGACUACAUCUAACUUAUUCUGAAAGAAGGAGAUAAUGGCUCAACAUGGAACAAAAUGCCUGUGAAGAAGAAGCAGAAAAUGAGCCAAGGGGCCAGAACCAUUCAUAGAGCAAAGCUUUUAGUUCCAGACAAAUUAAUUCCACGCAUAUAGGAAAGAAAGUACCAAUUUAAAGUCUUCACUGUUUGAUAUAAAUCCCUGUCCAUAAUGACAUCAGUUUGGCUAGCAUGGCUGGGCAAGGACAAGAGCAGCCAAGUAAAAGCAAUAGACUCUAGGGCCAGACUAUCUGGAUUCAAAUCCUAGCCCCACCGCUUUCUAACCAUGUGAUCCAGGGCAAGUCCCUCCUUGCCUCUUUGACUCUGUGUUCUUAUCUGUAAAAGAAUGAUAACAGUACCUGCCUUAUAGGGUAGUCAUGGGGAUUCAAUGAGAUCGUGUAUAUAAGGCAUGUGGAACAGUGCCCAGCCUAUACUAAGUACCAGAAGGAUGUUUGCUUUAUAUGUCCUUAUGAGGUACUCAGUGUGCGACCAAAAUACAGACAGUGGUUUUAUAUUUAGACAUUCUUAGGGCUUUCAUAUAGGAAAAGGACACAGUAGAUUUGAUUCAUCUUAGAUGCACUUUGCUAAAUAAAGUAAUUUUUAGAUCACCUAGAUUUAUUUUAGUUUUAGAAUUUGAGUGUUAAUUUGUAAGGUCAAUCAACUAACCUGUUGCCGUGACUCAGUCCGAAGGUGGAAUUUUGCUCCCAGCAAAAGGGGAUUUAGCAUAUAAAUUGAACGAUUAUCAAACAAAGACAGACAGACUGGCCACUAUCUUGAAAAUGGGAGUGGCAAAAAAUGGGUGAUAAUCCUGCCUGCAAAAUCCAAGGGAUUAGGGAAACCAACCAGGGUUUAGAGUUUGACGUAGCCAACGUAUUUUGAGGUGAUAUUGAUAGAAAUAAAGUGUAGCUCAUAGAUUAUAGUUUGGAUAGACUUCCGCAAAUUUAAAUCUUCCCUCCCGCUUUCUUCAAAGAGUUGGAAUGGAUGGUCCGUGACAAAGCCUUCCAUGGAGGUAAGAGAGGCUUUAUUCCUUCAAGGCAAUUUGGUCCAACUCUGCUAGUUCAUCCAUGGGGGAAGCCUGGCAAAAUUCCAAAGGUGAUUAGUGUUGUAUCUAUUAUUUCACAGGGUGGAGUGUGUUUGGGUAGAUGGAGGGGGAAACCUAUAAUUUCAUAGCUGCUGGUUGAACAUUUCUGCUAAACUUCUUUUUCUUUUAAAAAUUGGUGAAAAGAUCUCAACAUUCAAGAUGAUACGAGGGCAUUGAACUAUCCCCAGGAUAGAAUGUACCCACAGUGGUUGCUAAAUCUUGGUGUGGUGCGGGUUGGAAGUCUCUAAAAUAUUUCCUGCAAAAUAUGAAUUACUGUUUUGGCCCAUUUUUCUGGGAGAUCUAAAUCAACUUUUUAAUUACUUGAAGUCUGAAGGUUUUUCCCCAUAAAUAUAAAAUCAGAAGUGAAAGCUUGACCUAGACCUUUUAGGAAAAAAGGUUGCAUUUUAAAAUCAUGCCACCACUGUCUUGUUUGGGAAGAAUACAAGUUGGGUCCAAUCAAAUGUUGAGUCAUCAACUAUUUCAAUGCCCACAUUCAUCAUGCCUAAGAAAUAUAAUAAGCAUUCUUAUUUUUUUAAUAGGCUCUUUGAAUCAUAUUCUAAAUGAGUACCGUGUAAAUAAAUUAGCACAACAAUCACGCCAUGCUUUUUUGUCAUCAUGGGUCAUUUUCAUCGGAUGCUUAGUGAUUUCAUUGCACUUGUGUAAUCAGGUGAAGAAGCUCCACCGGAGCAUCCAUGGGUCAGCUAUGUAGACUCUAGCUGCCAAAGGCGCUUCUCCUUCUGAACAGAGCGCUUUGCUCAGCCAGUGUAGACAUGGCCUGAUAAACAAUGGAACUUCUCCCUUGAGCUGGAGUUUGGAUUGAUCUAAUUCUUUAACUCAAACGUGUGCACAGGUUUGAUGAGUGUUUAAAUGCCUGCAUUUUAGUAAAACAGGAACUUAAAUUGACAGUAAUGUGAGGAAUCGCAUAAUUUAUAAUGAACUUGAAAGGCAGGAGCACUCACUGUUGCUCAAGCUAAUCAAGGGACUAUCAAAUCAAGGGUUUAACAUGAGCUUAAAUAUAUGUGGCAGGAGGGUUGUUCUUGCAGGCUUAUAUCUGUCAGAUCUUAACACUAAACCUGUCAGGGUGCAACAUGGCCGUGUCACUUUUAACCAAGAUGUCACAUAUAUUGUGAGAAACAACCUGCUUUGUGUUUUCUUCUCUGGGAUUUUACUGGGAAAAGCAAAUGUAAAAGGGAUUUUUUUUUUUAACACUGCAUUUUUAUUUUGCAGAUUCUCAGGCUGAUGGAGAGAGUGACGAGUGGGUUGCCAGCUAUAGUCAGCGUGCACAAUGGCUGCGGGGAAUAUAUUCAGACAUGCCCAAGGAGGUCUGCCCAGGGGGAAACACAUACCUUUGAGGUUUAAAUCAGAAAGGAAGGAGAGGCUGUUUCUACAGGUGUCAUAGAAAAAUCAAUAUUGAGCCACGGAUUAUUGGAUCCCAUAGAACCAUGGAGACUUGGCAGUGAAAUUCUUCCAAAGGUGAGUAGGGGCAUUGAUUUUCCUUCUCAUGCCUGAAGAAAUAUGACACAGGAACGGAGGCUAAAUUUAGACUGGAAACAAGUCUGAUUUGAAACUAUGUGCCUUUAAAAAACUUUGUGACAGUUUUUUUUUUUUUUUUUAAUUAAAUGAGGAAAUUGAAUGUGAGCAUAUAAAAUUUUUCUCAUAUAUUUUUCUUAGAUUUACUUUUUUUUCUUUAUUCCUUUGCGUGCUUUUGAAAAAAAAAACGACUAUUUGACCAACAUUUUGUCUAUAAUUAAGAUCCAGUGAUUUCCUGUACAACAUAAAACAGUCUCACUCUUAAACCUAUAACCAAGACUGCAAUAGUCCUUCACCUUCUAAGAAAAAGCAUAUUAUUUAUACAAUCACACUUAAAAAUAUGUGCCAUGAUUUUUAGACACGUACUUGCUUACUUGUUUAUUUGUUUUACAGUUUCUCCUAGAUUUUGAAAAGUUGAAAAGCUCAACAUAACGCAUUGGUUGUUUUCCUGCAUUGUUUAGCAUUCCAUCCUUGCAGGCAGACGGUGUUCCUAGGUUUGGAAGGAUAAAUCCCAGGGGAAGUGAGCUGAAGAACAUUUCAUGCAUCACUCAUCCUAUUAUGAGCCCUGUGCUGUUCCAUCUCUCUACAAGGCUGGCUGAAACAACAGAAAUUGGUGUGUAAUUCGUAUUCUAACUUUGGAUCACCUGGUUAAUACUCUGACUCCGACUACCCAGAAAGACAAUGUUCUAUAAGAAGAACUAUCUGUUAAAAGGCCUCCUGCUGCAUUAUUAAUAAAAUAACAGGGAAAAUGCGAUAAUCUGGAUGUCCCAUCUGAUGAGGUAAGGUUUUAUCAUGUCCCAUAAAAUGAGAUUACAUUUGAUUUUAUUUAUCAUUAUCCCAGCCCCAAGAAAGUUUGCAUUUGUCAAUUUGACACAGAAAUCUGUAAUAUAAAGCUUAAUGUACACUAUCUAAACUGUGACCAAUUUCAGGCAUUAAAAGCCAGGCUAUUUAAUGUAUUUUAUUUAUGUGUAAGUUACAUUAUCGUUACUGUUUUUCUAUCCCUUUCAGCUUGGAAAAUUGUAACUCAGUAUAUCACACAACAUACUUCAAUAAAAAUAAAUUAUGUAUAUUAUAGUUCUUAUGGGGGGCAAAGGCAUACUAUUUUACUGACCUUUGGUGAGGUUUCACUUUUGAUGUGUGAAUUUUUAAAUGUGAACAAACCAGAAACAGUGGCAUACUUGGAAGUAAUCUAAAGCUAAAAUGGGAAAUGAAGAUUUUGUGGUAAGUGCCAGCCUCGUGUUUGCUAUUGCCAUACUUCAGCAUCUGCCUGAGAAGAAAAAAAAGUACAAAAGACAAUGGAGAGAUGAUGGAGGAGCUGGGCAUAUGGAAGGUUCCAGGUGCCUGUGGAUACAAUAUGAGGAUACUCAAAUAUCUAAUCCUCUUUUUUUGAUACCUAUCCUAUAAUCCAUCAGAGUGGCCAGAUGCCCUCUUUGUAGUUCAAAAAUAUUAGUGUUUUCAACAUCAGUGCCCAUUAUGGCUAUACCAAAAUCCCCUUCUAUGUGUAAAAUAUAUCUUACCCAUAUCUGAGCAACAUGAUUGUAGCCCUUCUCUCUUUAGGUUAAGCACAUUGUAUGACUUCUCUUAAAAUGUUGCAAAGAUGAAUUUCCACUAGAUAGUUUGUAGUUGGUAAAAUAUCAUGAAUUUUUCAGGGGAAAAGUGGCAAUUAAUGGAAACAUAAUUAUCUUCACUGUGAAAAUAGUCUGGGAUGCUAACUUUGGCGAGCACGAUGUCUCUAACUCAUUAUCAUUUUCUUUGCUUAUUUUGUUGUCAUUCUUCGGGUUCUUUCUGGAUCCAUCUCUCUUUUGUUUCCCUUCGACUCCUCUAUUGUAUUCCAGUUGGCAGUUAAAGAACCGAAACAGCAAUAAGACUGCGCAGGCACAUUUUCCCAGUGCCACCAACUGGGCGUUAAGCUGACUAACGUUUUGAAAGCCCAGCCCAUUUCGUUCACAGCAGGCAAGGCAGCGGUUGACUGAUUGUACCCGCCAGCUGGCUAAUAUCAUAAUUAACGAAGUUGCUACUACAUCUGCAAAGUUUAAUCGAAAAAUUUGCCAGUGAUAUGAUGGCAUUGUCACAAAGAUCACAAGGGACCCAGAGUUGACUUUUGCUCAAGGUGGAAUGGCAAAGCUGUAUGGGCAAGAUGAGAAAUCGUGGACUUGUUCAGCCAAAGGUUAUGCUUCAUAUCACCCACCGGGGAGGAUCAUCUCUCAUGAAAACUUCCAAAUUUGAUUUUGAAAAUUAUUCAGAAAAAUUUAAGCCACGCUAUCUCCCACUGUAGGAAAGAAUAUACUCUGGAGGUUCCUAUAAUUCAAAGAAAAUGGACUGGGAUAACAUUUGGGUUUGCAUGCCACCAAAAUCCUCUCGAGAAGGACAGCCAGGUUUUGCUAAAGGAUCACACUGUGGAAUCUACAACCGUGACAAACUUCUGCACUUCCUGCCCCUUGAAAAACAAAAUAUUGGCAUGGGAAGGAGGCUAAUAAUGAAGGGCCGGGGAAGGAGGCCAGUGCUAAGAGGGUUAUCUCACUGCCUCAGAUGCUGGAUAAGUCGAAGGAAGCAGAAUCGCUUUUGGAUGACAUUCAGAAAGGCCGGAGUGAUUAUUUGGGAGAGAAAAGCCUGCCUAUUCUUUUCCAAGGUGCGUGACUGUUCCCCUGGCCUGCCCAUCCACUGAUGAAUUAUUAGCAACGUGCCUUAGACAAAGGACGCACGGGAGCCCCACCACACCUAGAGCCACGCUUUGAAGGAUCUGCCAAGCUCACUUUUCAUCAUGAGAAAGAAAUUACCCACAUGGAGUCAGCAGAAAAUGAGAAAGUAGAGCUCGUGCUGCGAAUAAUUCCAGCAAGUGCCAAGGGGCUAGUUGAGGAAUGGCUUCAUGAAGUGAAUAUCUUUAGCUUGUACUUAGGGUUUGGUUAGCGUAUAAUCAUUUUCUCUUUUAGGAGCGUUGACUAUCCUCAGUGUCUUUCCUCACUAAAGAGUGCUCAGAGCAUUCGUCAGGAUGUUGACAGAUUUAAUAUCAGUCUCGUCCUUGUUGUUAUUUACUGUGACUAAUUUUACAUGUGCAAAUAUGCAAAAAUCAAUUUAGGCGGAGAGGCGCUCCGGAGCCAAUGACUGUUAAUCGCUGUAUGUGUGUGUGUCUCGCUUGCGAGUGGAUGUCCAGUAAUUUCUGUCUCUGUGUGUGUACGUGCCCUUGUUCUUGUCUUCUCUCCGUUGUGCCAUAGGUUGGGAGGUUUGGCCAGCCAAUGCCUUCUCAGACGUGGUCUGAGGCUUUCAUUUGAUUUUUGGACCAGGAAAAAAAGAAUGUGUCACAUCAUGAUUAAUGGUCAAUCUGAAUUUUCAAUUCAUAUGAAAGGAGAAGGGGGAGGAGGAUAUGAGCCCAGUGAUGAGACUAACCUUUUCCCUUUGGGAAGAGCAUGAUUCAAAUUAAACAUCACUUUCAGUGUGAAAUUAGUUUGAAGGCUUCUUUUUUUUUCUCCCCCCCGUGCCUGGUUUAACUCCAUGGUGGCUGCUCCUGCGGAGAGGACCCUUCCAUCCGGCCUCUGUGCCCGAAUCUGUUCCCAGUAGGCCAUAGUUCCUCUUCUUUUGUUUUAUUUUUCUAAAGACCAGGUCCAAGAAACCAAAAAAAAAAAAAAAAAAAGAAUAUUUUACUAUAAAAGCAUCCUUAUUCACAAGAUAAGAUUUUCCCCAAAACAUGUUAUUUCUUUGUGUCCCACUUAUGUUUCCAAAAAAGAAAAAUAAAUAAACAAAUAAGUAAAUAUGUAAAUAAUGUUCUUCUUUUGAGGAUAAUUUUGCCAGGGAGGAGGAAAAGGGAAAGCGAGGGAUCCUUUCCAAAGACCUUUGAGUGCCCUCUGCUUUAUGCCAGUUUCUGCUAGCCGAGUGAGCCACAUUGGAGAACAGCAACCCCAAACCCCAAGCUUUCCCUCAGUUCUCUAGUUCCCCACGUAACCGAGUCACAGGAUCGCCAUGUCAACCUGCAGCAGCUCUGGCUUCAAGCAAGCAUAUGCCGGGACAGUCUGAAACUACCCUUCAGUACCUACCAGAGACUCAGGCCCAAGCUUGUAGAAAGAACCCACUGUCCAUGGAAACGCUGGGCCGCUUGCCCAUCUGUGCACGUUCUGGAUGCCACAGUUAGGCGUCAUCAGGAUUUGAUGUUCCGUUGAUGCUCUUUCUGGAAUUUGGUGGCUUGUAGAGAAAGGACAAGUAUAGAAAAGGCCAAGAGACAGGCUCGUUCUUCCAUGUCUUUUCAAAAAGAAGAUGCUAGGGCUUUGUAAUCCCUUUCCUACAGGAAGAGAGGUGUGGUGGGGGAGGGGAAGCAGCUGGGUGGGUGAGGUAGGGGAGGGGAGGCAGCUGGGGGCAGAGGUAGAGGUGGAGUGGGGGAGGUGGAAGGUGGAGGCAGAUGAGCAGCUGUGUUUAUUUUAAUACAUAUCAUUUAACCCUCACCUAAAAACAAAUUGGAGAGGUUUGGGAGUGCAUUAAUCUGGACCCAAUUAGCAUGUCUUUCUCCUUCAAAAGUGCAACCUGAGAUUAAUGAAUAUAAAGUAGAGUUUCAGAUGCAGUGCUUAAAUCAUUUGCAUGUUUCAUGCAUGAUAAUUGAAUUUAUGUAUGCACUUCCUAUCAUUUAACUAUUUCCAGUCUCCUCCCUGUGAUUCACACAAACCAAGAUUUCAUUACAGUAACCUCCAGGUGGAAAUAACUUGGCUAGACCUUACUCCUAAUGAGGAACUCAAGUUCUUGUUUCUUUUAUUUGAAUUUGAAUCAUACGAUAUUUUUUUAAAAAGCAGAGGGAAGUUCUUAUUAGUCUGGGACACUCUUUUAGGAGGUGGUAAAUAGGCAUUCUGAGUUUAUUUUUGGAAGGCCGGAAAAUCCAUGCGAACUUAUGGCAUUGACUUAUCAGUGGUCACAGAGAAUUGGGUUUCAGUGUGGUCACUUAUCAAUAUAUUAAUAACUCUGAGAGCAAUGUCACUUUAAUGCAGCAUAAAGAACGUUCUUGGGCUCUGGGCCUGAGGUAUUUAGAUCCCUGGGAGAUUUAGUGCACCGGAUUGUUUCUGGCAUAGACCCUGGCUUCUAGAGAUGUGGGUGGGGGGAUGGUGUCAGCCUCCAUGAAGGUCUGUAGAUGGGCAGUUAGCACUUGUGGUCUCUUAGUAUGUUGUAGGUUUUUUUUCUCUUUUUUUUCUUUCUGUUUUGUUAUUUAGGUGUAGAAGGCUUAAUGCUGACUUAGUGUGAGCAGGUGCUAAGUUUCCCCCUCUCCACCUGCCCCAGAAUGAAAGCCUGAAAGCUGGCAGUGGGCAUGGAAGAGAGCUUCCUGGGGAAGAAGGUGAAGCAAGCGGCUUAAAAUAAAUCCCCUGGUUUCAGUUCGUAUCAGUGAUUUGUCUGUCUUCUGUCUUUCCUCAUGUGUUUCCAAGUCCGAUGUCAAAGUGAUGAGCUUUUCUCCAGGAAUUCUUCCCAGUGUCCUUUGUUUUUGGUGAAUUCAAUGGUUGAGUGUCGCUGAGUGUCUCUGGUCUUGUUUCCUGGUCCUUGUAGCUAAGAAUGUCGUUGAAGGAUAAACUCUUGUUAAUUUGUGAUGUCACAAUUUAAGUGUGCUUCCUGUCACUUACGUGUAGUUUAAAAUGUUCCUUAAUGUAGCAUGAAAUGAUUGGUUAGCUUUGAAAUGGUUGUGAAGUCAUGUGAAGAAAAUAAGUUUUGCAUCCGACCAAGAUAAAUUCACUCUAGUGCUUUAUGGCUUUUUAUUCCUAUGUGAUAGUAAUAAAGUCUCAUGUAGGGAUGGAAGCCAUGAAAUACAUUGUGAAAAAUCAUCAACUAAGAAGGGGCCAUCAGUAUAGAAAACGGUAGCCUGUGCAGCUGUGAACAUGAUGGAGAAAUGACUUAGUGCAUAGCUCUGCUACAUGUUUGGUGUCUCUUUGAGUUUCUUUAUCCUUAGGUUUUUGACAGCUAAGGAAUCUAGGUUACAAGAGUUGACUCAUCUUCGUAAUCAUUGAUUUACAUGCACAUUCGGGCUUGCACAUUUCUGUUUAUCAUACAUUUUUCUCCGUGUCCUAUUAUCCAAUGAGCUCUAGGAGAACUGUUAAUAGCCCACCAGUCUGGUAGGCAGCGAUCAGUCCUCCCAUGGCUUCUUUCUCCUGUGGCAGUCUUUAUUCUGACACAAAGAAGGAAUCGUCAAGUCAGACUUGACCUCUUGGAAAUGUGGUCCAGAUUGCUCUACUCCCAAGCUCCAAAAAGGUGUACAUUGCAUGGGCUAGAUCAACGCCUCCUCAGAUCCAUAAAUCCACCAGGCCAGUUCCAUGUACAGGUGUAGCUCCGGUUGGGAAACACCUACUGUCGGACAAGGAGGAGGGCUUCAGGGUGGAGUCAGGUUCUCCUCUCUGCCACUUGGAGCCCCGGGGCAAGUCUUUUCACUCUUUAUCUUUAAGACUGGGAGAAGUAACACGGCUAGCAAGGUUGUUGUAAGGAUUAAAUGAAGAAAUGUAUGUAUACAGGACCUAGCAAAUUAUUGAGCAUGUCCAAACAAACAAAAAAAAAAGCCCGUGAGAUUUGUUUUUCUAUUUUCUUCCCUUUCUUCCCACUCUCCUCCCCCUCCCCUUUCCCUGCCCUCCCCUCCCCAUCCCUCUCUUUAGACAUUGGUCCAAAAACAGAACCUUUGAGAGAGCAAAGAGUUCUUCUAGAAUGUCUAGUUGCACCUCCUUUCCAUGUGUGGCUUAAAUGCCUUGGUUGGGUUCAUAGUUUCAUUUUUUCUAAAUGAACUAUUUUAAUGUUGAUGAUUGACCUAUUUCACUUUUCUUUUUUUCUGUACAUACAUUUUUCCUUGACCUGUUUUAAUAUUGACUAUUGACCUAUACUCUUUUUUACUGGUUUUCUGUAUUUUUUUUCGAUGAGAAUUCUAAUAAAGAUUAUUUGUGUUA